AAGAAAUCCGUGAUGGCCAUGAUGGCGGGGAAGCUGAACAAUGUUGUCAUCGAAUAUAGAACUAUUAUAUUGAAUCGAAAAAUGAUCUAAGCUGUGGCCUUAAAGGAGUAGUCUCCUUUGAUAAAGAUCAACAGUGACAAAUAAACAAUGCUGUCUUGUCAUCAACGGUGAAAUUUGAGACUUUUAUACCCAUAUAUCUACCAAUCACCUCUGUCCACUUUGUUUUGUACAUCUGAGACAGGUGUACACGAGAUGCCAGUAUUCACUCCUUUCCACGGACACCUGUUAGGAGGAUUUUCAUUUGUUUGCUGCCUUUGUCUUGGGAGGUGGAGGCACCAGGGCAAUGAGGUCAUUUUGUCCCUUUAUGAUGCUGACAGAGAGUCCCUAACCAUCUGAUCCAUCAUGAUAGGCAUUUUUCUUUAUGAUGCAGUACUUGCUGAGAGAGAGAGAGAGAGAGUCUCAUACUCGGAUGAGCACAGCGUAGAUAUAAAUCAAAAUCCCGGACUUGUGUUUCAUACACAAUGAUGUAUAAGUGGCUCAUCUUACAUCAAAUGGAAUGGAUCCAUGCCAGGAUUCACUUUUCCUUCCCAUGCUGGUUCCAGUCCAGUAAACUGUCACAGUCUGGGAAAUUCUGUGAGUUCUCUCUCAAUGCAUGAUGCUAUAAUUUAGCUCUUUUUAGUUCACCUUAACUGAAAGCUUUUGUGAGCUUUUCUGAGAACUUUUGUCUAGCGUCCAUCUGUACAAUUUUGACCUUCUCUGCAGAACCAGAUUAUCAGAAAUCAUUUAGACUUUGUAAACAGAUCUUCUGCAUCACUAAAUCCCGUAAAUACACAAGA